UUCAAGGUGUUGGAGCAAAGAAGUUCAAUUCGUAAUAGGAUUUGAAAUUAGAGUUAUGAUCUGAUAUGGAAGUUGUAGCUAGUUCUGAAAGUAGAGUCUGCUAAGGAAACUAAGUUUGAAGUUGAUAAGGAAACUAUAUCUGCCGAGAGAUUUUCUGAAGUAGAGUUGGAAACGAAUUGUUCUAGGGUUUUAGAGAAUUUACCUAUAAAUAUCUUCACUUGUAAUCAGAUCGAGGCAUAUGACAUCUUAUAUUUUAUUUAAUUAUUAUUUGUUCUCUU
rnacentral:lncRNA from 1 species